UACGUAGGCAGCGAGCGUUGUUCGGAGUUACUGGGCGUAAAGAGUGCGUAGGCGGUUUUCUAAGUUUGGUGUGAAAUCUCCCGGCUUAACUGGGAGGGUGCGCCGAAAACUGGAAGGCUUGAGUAUGGGAGAGGUAAGCGGAAUUCCUGGUGUAGCGGUGAAAUGCGUAGAUAUCAGGAGGAACACCUGCGGUGUAGACGGCUUACUGGACCAUAACUGACGCUGAGGCACGAAAGCGUGGGUGGCAAACAGG
rnacentral:rRNA from 1 species